rnacentral:rRNA from 1 species
UACGUAGGUGACAAGCGUUGUCCGGAUUUACUGGGCGUAAAGAGCGCGCAGGCGGUCGAUCAAGUCGAGUGUGAAAGCCCCCGGCUCAACUGGGGAGGGUCAUUCGAUACUGCUCGGCUCGAAGACAGGAGAGGGAAGCGGAAUUCCCGGUGUAGUGGUGAAAUGCGUAGAGAUCCGGAGGAACACCAGUGGCGAAGGCGGCUGCCUGGGCCUGGCCUGACGCUGAGGCGCGAAAGCGUGGGGAGCAAUCCGG